AUGGCAAAAGGUAUAUAAAAAUUUGGUUCAUGUAAGAAAGUAUGUAUUGGUUUAUGUACAAAUGCACGUUUUAGUUUAUAGAAGAGUGCACGUAGAAUAACAGAAGGGGUUAUUCAUGUUCGCUCAUAUUCCUGUACCAGACCAGCAUACUAG
rnacentral:rRNA from 1 species